GAGAAGCACGGCAAGCAGUCAAGGACGCAAAAGGAAGGGGCGACCACAAGAGGAGGAUACUGGCGGCAUUUUUUCUUUGGUAGACGAACAGCUCCAUCACCUUUCCCUGCGUGCUUGUGGCGGAAGCAAACGAUGCCGCCCCCUUUCCCCUCACACGCCCCGGCAAUCGUCGCCGCUGUGGCCGGCGCCGUCGCCGGAGCGGCGGCGCUUACCUGGGGUGUCUUACGCUGGCAUCGACGCCAGCAGGGACAUGAGGGCACUGGUACCCCGACUGGGACGUGGACAGUUCAGCAGGUGGCGGCAUGGCUUCGUGAGAACGGUGUCAGCAAGACCUCUGUGGCUGUGUGUUGUCGCUACAAAGUGGAUGGCGACACACUGAUGCGGCUGACGGCGCAUGAUCUCUAUUACAUGGGUGUGCCGUUGCGCGACGCGCGAGUGAUUCUCGCAGCUGUGGAGGACGUUAAGGGUAGCCUAGUCCUUCUCUCCUCUGCAUCGCCGCGCUCGGUCUCGCGCCGGCAGUCAAGCGUUUCCCCGCGAACUGCCCAAGUAACUGUCCCCUCGGCGGCCGAGCAGUUUGAGGCCGCCUGGCGGGCACUGAUGCGAACCUGUGCACUGCCGGCAAGCGGCACAUCACCAGCCGAGCAGCAGCAGCGCUUGGCGGUGUACACUGGUACUCUUUUAGAGAGCUUUCAGGUGCUGACAGCUAGCGAGCAGGCCGCGGCGCUGUCGCUGGUGGCGGAGGCGGAAAAAGUGCGUGUCGCCCCCCCUGCCAUCGUGCCGCUGGAAGCUCAGCCUGGGCAAGCGGACACCGAGGCCCCUGUGGAUACGUCGUUUCCCGUGCAGGCGGUGGAGGAGAAGCUGAGGCCUUUGCAUGAUAUGCUGGACGGGUUUCUGGACUUUCUGCGCUCUCCGGACCUCGACGCGGUUGCGGCAGCUGAAUUUGACGAGUUGGGCGAGCGGGUCGCGGCGCAGGUGAAGCGGAUUUUGCGAGUUGCGGAGCAGUUGCCGCCGAAGCUUGGCGACCCCCUCCGCCGCAAGUGCGACGGCGUUUUCGAGGUCCUCUUCAGCCGUCAACGGACCGCGCUUGGUGCCUCUGGCGGGGAGGCCGCCGGCAAGGCAAAGCUAAUGCAGGCCCUCCGCAGUGUGCUUUCCACUGUGGAGGACCCACAGCUGCGCGAGUUGCCUGCUGCACAGCGCGUGCAGGCUCUGUCGUCGUUGGCCAAGCGAGCGGAGGCGAUCGAGGCUGUCGCAGCCGGCUCCGUGUCAGGCGUGCCUAAGGAUGUGGAGGUUCUCAAUAUGGUGCAGUCACUGCUUCGCAUUAUUCAGGAGGCGAUUCGUCUCAGCGAGCGUGAGGCUGAAGCCGAUGAGGAUGAGAAGGAAGGGCAGGCGCCUGCUGCAGAGGACGCGGAUGCUGCCAACGGGCCGAUCCCUGUAAUCGUCAGGACUGUGCAGGACAUUCAGGGCACCCUGCAGUCAGAGACAUUCCAGCACGCGCCGUCGGCGGUAAAGGUGGAGUUGUGCACCACUUUGCUCCAACGAGUUGCGGCGCUGGAGGACAACCUGGCCGAAGUGCCCUCUCCCGCGCAGGCUAUGGUGCGGGAUCUUCUUUUGAACACAAGGAACGUGCUCGCCGUCGUGAUUGCCGCGGCUGAGACCGAGGGGAACGAUGGCGGCGAGGACCCCCCGGCGGAUGAUGAGAAGCCCGAGAAGGAGCAGGAUGGUAACGGCGACGCCGAGGCGGCCCAGACGGAGGGUGAGAAGAGAGAGACGCAGAGCUCUGACACAAACAUAGAUGCGUACGUGGCACAGUUGGAGAAGAUAUUCGACUUCCUGACCUCCGACGCGCUGGAUCAGGCCACGAUGGAGGAGAGGAAAAAGGUAGCGGUGAGGCUGCGGCAGCGGGUGGAGGCGAUCAAGGCAGAUGUGGCAGCGCGCGACCCCCAGUGCACACUCAUCACGGAGCUCAUCGCUCCUCUUCAAAAUUUGUUGUCUGAAAUGGCUAGCAAUCACGUUGCGUCGCGUGAGUUCCUCGAGAUUACUGCCCCUCUUAGUGACGUGCGACGUCUUUUGACCAGCGAGUCAUUCCAGCAGCUGCCCCACGCCGGGAAGAUACGUAUUGCCCGCAACAUUGUGCCACAACUGCAGCAGCUUACCUCUUCCUUCUCCUCCUUGUCGAACUCUGAGCGUACUGCCGCAGAGGAGCUGCUUCGCCCCAUCAACGAGGUGCUGUUGCACCUGAUGCGUCCCCGCGGCGUUGCUACGGGGUCAGCGCAGGAAGUGCUUGAUCGUCUUCAAGCGGUGAUGCGCACCAUCCAAGGCGCCGAGCUCACCACCAUGUCGCCAACGGAGAGAAGCGCCUGGGCUGCCAACACCGUCGCGGAUCUGGGCCGGCUUCGGGACGAUUGUGCGGCGCUCGGCGCUGAGGGAGAAGCAUUACUUCCUAUCAUCGAGCGUCUUCGAAGCCAACUGAGCGGGUUGCUGCCCGACCAUACAAAUGCUGGAGGAGGCGAAGACCGUGAUGAUUCCGGCGACGCCGAACGCAGCGGCGCCGGAUGCAACGGCGAGGCUCAGCGGGAGCAGGAGGAGGGUCGGACACACCUUGUCUGGGCAGCACCGCGUGACAUGCACGCUGAAUUGCUGGAGGCUGAGCGGGCAGCGACGCCAGUGCCGCCGGAACGGUUGCAGAGAAUGCUCCAGAUGAUGGGAGAGGCGACUGAGCUGCCGGGUAUGUCAACACGACAAGUGGCGGAGCCGCGGCAGUUCGGCAGUCUCCUGCGUCGCCACGCGGAGGGCGUGGGCGGCAAGGUAAACGACGAUAGCACCAGCGCUAGAGUCGACGGCGCGGAACAGGACUUCGAUGAAGCCACGGCGGCGCUGCACGCUUUACGCAGAUCUCUGCAGGUGCUGAUGGAUGCGGUGCAAGAUGAGAACGCUGCGACGGCGACGGAGUUGUCAGUGGUGGCGAGCAAAACAGAGGAACUGCUCGCAAGCGCUGAUGCGGCCAAGAUAAACUGGCGCGCUGACUCGUGGUGCACCGGCACGGUGCGGAGCAUUUCGGAGGCCCUGCAGCAGUUGCGCGGCAGCGGGGGCGGCGCGAGCCGCGCCAAAGUUCCAAGCAAAGUGGAGGAGGUGCUCCAAUCAUCUAUCGCGGCUCUCAUCGCAAACCCGCCGACCGGCAUGGAGGACUUCGAGCCGUACCUGCGUUUGCUGCAGCUGGCCCAGCCAUCGGCAGAACAGAUGACGAACAGGGAGCUGAUGCUGCUCAAAAGCCUCCAGGAAUCGGUGAUAGAGGCCAUGCGGCGCCUCCCAGAUCAUCCGCGUCAAAAUGGCGAAAGGACCAGGCAUGAGACCGACGACGAGGGGGAGGGCAGUGCACAGGCAGUAUUGGGCGUGCCGCAGCAGAUGCCGUACAAACGGCGCGAAGGCUCCUCCUCGGCGGAGGAGCUGGACGACUCCGACAAUGCCCAGCAGGAUCUGGAGCGCCUCCUGGCCGGUGAGGGGGUGACAGUGGAGGAUGCCAUUGAAGCGCUGCGGGAGCAGAUUUGCCUGCAGCCCGAUGCACUCGACCGUGGCGAGGCCGGCGAUGAGGACGAGGUCGAGCGGGCCGGGAACGAAGAGGACGACGCCUGCGUGUCACAGUCGGAGGCGCAACGCGCUGACAAACAGACCCCAGAUCCACUUCAGCCGGAGAGCGCAGAUGCCUUUAACGAGGACGACGACGACGGCGUUGGCAGCAGCGGUGCCGCAGCCAUCUCUGGCCCCUCGUCUGGCUCUGCGCGACACAUCGCGUACGACGACGAGUUUGACGGCGAGGACAAGACUCACAGCAGCACCAGCGCCGCAUGAUGAGAUGUCGGGGUAUCGCCUAUCCCCCCCUCUUUACUCAGCACUAUCAGCACCUACACAUACACGGUGCCGUCUGUGAGGUGCAAUGCGCAGGCCCUCAUCGGUGAUGGAUGGGUCUUGCAAUAGAAAAGGCGUGGAUGAAGCAAGUUUCUGUUUUCAUCUGCGCGGCCUUAUCGAGCGAUGUGCAAUGACAUGCACGAAGGACUAUAACGGCCUGUCGGCUAUACACACGCG
rnacentral:misc_RNA from 1 species